UUGACCUCGGAUCAGGUAGGACUACCCGCUGAACUUAAGCAUAUCAAUAAGCGGAGGAAAAGAAACCAACAGGGAUUGCCCCAGUAACGGCGAGUGAAGCGGCAACAGCUCAGAUUUGGAAUCUGGCCCCCAGGGCCCGAGUUGUAAUCUGGAGAGGAUGCUUCUGGCGCGGCGCCUUCCGAGUUCCCUGGAACGGGACGCCGGAGAGGGUGAGAGCCCCGUACGGUUGGACGCCUAGCCUUUGUGAAGCUCCUUCGACGAGUCGAGUAGUUUGGGAAUGCUGCUCAAAAUGGGAGGUAAAUUUCUUCUAAAGCUAAAUACCGGCCAGAGACCGAUAGCGCACAAGUAGAGUGAUCGAAAGAUGAAAAGCACUUUGAAAAGAGGGUCAAACAGUACGUGAAAUUGUUGAAAGGGAAGCGCCCGUGGCCAGACUUGUGCCCGCGGACCACCCGGCGCCCUCAGCGCCGGUGCACUCCGCGGGGCGCAGGCCAAAAUCGGUUUUCCUAGGGGGAUAAAGGCGGCGGGAA
rnacentral:rRNA from 1 species